rnacentral:misc_RNA from 1 species
UACGGAGGGGGCUAGCGUUGUUCGGAAUUACUGGGCGUAAAGCGCGCGUAGGCGGCUUUUCAAGUCAGGGGUGAAAUCCCGGGGCUCAACUCCGGCACUGCUCUUGAAACUGGAUGGCUAGAAUCCUGGAGAGGCGAGUGGAAUUCCGAGUGUAGAGGUGAAAUUCGUAGAUAUUCGGAAGAACACCAGUGGCGAAGGCGGCUCGCUGGACAGGUAUUGACGCUGAGGUGCGAAAGCGUGGGGAGCAAACAGG